GAUGAACGCUGGCGGCGUGCCUAAUACAUGCAAGUCGAGCGAAUGGAUUAAGAGCUUGCUCUUAUGAAGUUAGCGGCGGACGGGUGAGUAACACGUGGGUAACCUGCCCAUAAGACUGGGAUAACUCCGGGAAACCGGGGCUAAUACCGGAUAACAUUUUGAACCGCAUGGUUCGAAAUUGAAAGGCGGCUUCGGCUGUCACUUAUGGAUGGACCCGCGUCGCAUUAGCUAGUGGAUGAGGUAACGGCUCACCAAGGCAACGAUGCGUAGCCGACCUGAGAGGGUGAUCGGCCACACUGGGACUGAGACACGGCCCAGACUCCUACGGGAGGCAGCAGUAGGGAAUCUUCCGCAAUGGACGAAAGUCUGACGGAGCAACGCCGCGUGAGUGAUGAAGGCUUUCGGGUCGUAAAACUCUGUUGUUAGGGAAGAACAAGUGCUAGUUGAAUAAGCUGGCACCUUGACGGUACCUAACCAGAAAGCCACGGCUAACUACGUGCCAGCCGCCGCCGUAA
rnacentral:rRNA from 1 species